rnacentral:tRNA from 1 species
GGUGGGGUCGCAUAGUGGUCUAGUGCGGCACGGUGCUAACGUGCUGACCCUUCACGGGGUCCGUGGGUUCGAAUCCCACCCCCACCG